CACUCCUACGGGAGGCAGCAGUGGGGAAUUUUGGACAAUGGGCGAAAGCCUGAUCCAGCAAUGCCGCGUGAGUGAAGAAGGCCUUCGGGUUGUAAAGCUCUUUUGUCAGGGAAGAAACGGUGAGAGCUAAUAUCUCUUGCUAAUGACGGUACCUGAAGAAUAAGCACCGGCUAACUACGUGCCAGCAGCCGCGGUAAUACGUAGGGUGCAAGCGUUAAUCGGAAUUACUGGGCGUAAAGCGUGCGCAGGCGGUUUUGUAAGUCUGAUGUGAAAUCCCCGGGCUCAACCUGGGAAUUGCAUUGGAGACUGCAAGGCUAGAAUCUGGCAGAGGGGGGUAGAAUUCCACGUGUAGCAGUGAAAUGCGUAGAUAUGUGGAGGAACACCGAUGGCGAAGGCAGCCCCCUGGGUCAAGAUUGACGCUCAUGCACGAAAGCGUGGGGAGCAAACAGGAUUAGAAACCCUUGUAGUCCC
rnacentral:rRNA from 1 species